UACGGAGGGGGCAAGCGUUGUUCGGAAUUACUGGGCGUAAAGGGCUCGUAGGCGGCCAACUAAGUCGGAUGUGAAAUCCCCAAGCUUAACUUGGGAACUGCAUCCGAUACUGGAUGGCUUGAAUCCGGGAGAGGGAUGCAGAAUUCCAGGUGUAGCGGUGAAAUGCGCAGAUAUCAGGAAGAACACCCGUGGCGAAGGCGGCUCUCUGGGACGGUACUGACGCUGAGACGCGAAAGCGUGGGGAGCGAACAGG
rnacentral:rRNA from 1 species